GACGAACGCUGGCGGCGUGCUUAACACAUGCAAGUCGAGCGGUAAGGCCCUUUCGGGGGUACACGAGCGGCGAACGGGUGAGUAACACGUGGGUGACCUGCCCUCAGCUCUGGGAUAAGCCUGGGAAACCGGGUCUAAUACUGGAUAUGACUCCAUGACGCAUGUUGUGGGGUGGAAAGCCUUGUGCGGCUGAGGAUGGGCCCGCGGCCUAUCAGCUUGUUGGUGGGGUGANGGGCCUACCAAGGCGACGACGGGUAGCCGGCCUGAGAGGGCGACCGGCCACACUGGGACUGAGACACGGCCCAGACUCCUACGGGAGGCAGCAGUGGGGAAUCUUGCGCAAUGGGCGAAAGCCUGACGCAGCGACGCCGCGCGAGGGAUGACGGCCU
rnacentral:rRNA from 1 species